rnacentral:rRNA from 1 species
AACGAACGCUGGCGGCAUGCCUAACACAUGCAAGUCGAACGAGAUCUUCGGGUCUAGUGGCGCACGGGUGCGUAACGCGUGGGAAUCUGCCCUUUGGUUCGGAAUAACAGUUGGAAACGACUGCUGAUACCGGAUGAUGACGAAAGUCCAAAGAUUUAUCGCCAGAGGAUGAGCCCGCGUAGGAUUAGCUAGUUGGUGUGGUAAAGGCGCACCAAGGCGACGAUCCUUAGCUGGUCUGAGAGGAUGAUCAGCCACACUGGGACUGAGACACGGCCCAGACUCCUACGGGAGGCAGCAGUGGGGAAUAUUGGACAAUGGGCGAAAGCCUGGUCCAGCAAUGCCGCGUGAGUGAUGAAGGCCUUAGGGUUGUAAAGCUCUUUUACCCGGGAUGAUAAUGACAGUACCGGGAGAACAAGCUCCGGCUAACUCCGUGCCAGCCGCCGCCGUAA